CGCGGAGGAUGCGAGCGUUAUCCGGAUUUAUUGGGUUUAAAGGGUGCGUAGGCGGAUCGUUAAGUCAGUGGUCAAAUUGAGGGGCUCAACCCCUUCCCGCCAUUGAAACUGGCGAUCUUGAGUGGAAGAGAAGUAUGCGGAAUGCGUGGUGUAGCGGUGAAAUGCAUAGAUAUCACGCAGAACCCCGAUUGCGAAGGCAGCAUGCCGGCUUCCUACUGACGCUGAAGCACGAAAGCGUGGGGAUCGAACAGG
rnacentral:rRNA from 1 species